rnacentral:rRNA from 1 species
GACGAACGCUGGCGGCGUGCCUAAUACAUGCAAGUAGAACGCUGAAACUUGGUGCUUGCACCGAGCGGAUGAGUUGCGAACGGGUGAGUAACGCGUAGGUAACCUGCCUGGUAGCGGGGGAUGACUAUUGGAAACGAUAGCUAAUACCGCAUAAGAGUAGAUGUUGCAUGACAUUUGCUUAAAAGGUGCAAUUGCACCACUACCAGAUGGACCUGCGUUGUAUUAGCUAGUUGGUGGGGUAACGGCUCACCAAGGCGACGAUACAUAGCCGACCUGAGAGGGUGAUCGGCCACACUGGGACUGAGACACGGCCCAGACUCCUACGGGAGGCAGCAGUAGGGAAUCUUCGGCAAUAGACGGAAGUCUGACCGAGCAACGCCGCGUGAGUGAAGAAGGUUUUCGGAUCGUAAAGCUCUGUUGUAAGAGAAGAACGAGUGUGAGAGUGGAAAGUUCACACUGUGACGGUAUCUUACCAGAAAGGGACGGCUAACUACGUG